AUUGAACGCUGGCGGCAUGCCUUACACAUGCAAGUCGAACGGCAGCAUGAUCUAGCUUGCUAGAUUGAUGGCGAGUGGCGGACGGGUGAGUAAUACAUCGGAACGUGCCCUGUAGGGGGGGAUAACUAGUCGAAAGAUUAGCUAAUACCGCAUACGACCUGCGGGUGAAAGUGGGGGACCGCAAGGCCUCAUGCUAUAGGAGCGGCCGAUGUCUGAUUAGCUAGUUGGUGAGGUAAAGGCUCACCAAGGCGACGAUCAGUAGCUGGUCUGAGAGGACGAUCAGCCACACUGGGACUGAGACACGGCCAAGACGACUACGGGAGGCAGCAGUGGGGAAUUUUGGACAAUGGGCGAAAGCCUGAUCCAGCAAUGCCGCGUGUGUGAAGAAGGCCUUGGGGUUGUAAAGAACUCUUGUCCGGAAAGAAAUGGCUCUGGUUAAUACCUGGGGUGGAUGACGGUACCGGAAGAAUAAGGACCGGCUAACUACGUG
rnacentral:rRNA from 1 species